CCCAGACAAGCCGAUCAAGAUAUAUAGUUUGGAAGGCCGCCAGCCAGCGCCCACCAGCGGCCCCAGUGCGCCUUGUGCCUUCACUUGCGGCGUCCCCUCUCCCCUAUCCUCCUCAAAGUCCUUCAGCAUGUCAGUGCUGUCCAUCCUGAGACGCGGGGAUUUAGCAGACUGGGUCCUGGUUAGGCUGGUGGGUCCCUCAUGACGACUGAGAGGGACUAGAGUGCAGGCCUUUGUACCCUUCCCGCGAGGCAUGUCAUUCCUGCAAGCCCAGGGGUUCAUCGCACACGUCUCCUGCCUGUGAGGGCGCACACGGGCAUUUCCUUGCAAGAAUAACAUGCAUGCGGAGGCUCGCCUAAUACUCACUAGGCAAUGAUUCCAGCGGCGCUAAGUUGGACUCAAAUGGCUGUAAGAAGAGAGGGGACGGAUCUGGGUUGG